rnacentral:lncRNA from 1 species
GGAGGAAGGAAAGGAAGAAAGAAUAAUUGGAUGCGUCCUCCUGCCCGAUUAGCAAAAAGAAAUAAUACUAAUGAAAAAUGAAAAAAAAUUCCACCCUCGCCCACACAUCUACACACACACACACGCAUAAAAUUCUCCGCUCUCAUUGAGCAUCCAAGCCCUGUUCAGAGUCAAUUGGCUUCCCUGGCUUCAUUUGCAUAGUCCAGCCCCACCUCCUCGGGCUGCGAACCAGGGGCUGGAGCCGCUGCUCCUCUCUCCUCCCCGCCGCCACCUCUUUUUCCACCUGUAUCGCCCCGCCCUCUCCGCUGGGUUUGGCUCCGCGAAGCUGGGGCGGCGAGCCGCAGGCGGGUUUCCUGGGUUCUCUCAGCAGUGCCAGCGCGGGAUGGCUGGGUCGACAGCGAGCGGAGAGCGUGUGUGACUUUUCUGCUCUCCUCUCGGUGGGGGGGGGGAGAAAAAGAAAAGAAAACCUGCCUCGUUCCAUCACACGCACAUCGCAGAGACAAUCUGCGCGCUGCAUAAGAUGAUUUCCUGAUCAAUGAACAAAAAGAGAUGCUUGCGUUCUGUUUAGAAACACUUUCUUUUUCACCAGGGUGAGGAAGAGGUGACUGU